rnacentral:rRNA from 1 species
UGGGCGUAUUCCACAAUGGGGGAAACUCUGUUGCAGCCAUUUCGCUUGUUUGAAGAAGGCCUGCGGGUUGUAAAUCACUUUCAGGCAGUAGGAAGUUUGUGUAUCUAAUAUCUGUUCUACUUGACUUUACUGACAGAAGAGGCACCGGCUAAUCCGGUGCCAGCAGCCGCGGUAAUACGUAGGGUGCGAGCGUUAAUCGGAAUUACUGGGCGUAAAGCGUGCGCAGGCGGUUGAUUAAGACAGGCGUGAAAUCCCCGGGCUUAACCUGGGAACUGCGCUUGUGACUGGUCGGCUAGAGUACGGCAGAGGGGGGUGGAAUUCCACGUGUAGCAGUGAAAUGCGUAGAGAUGUGGAGGAACACCGAUGGCGAAGGCAGCCCCCUGGGCCUGUACUGACGCUCAUGCACGAAAGCGUGGGGAGCAAACA